CGCUAUCUGCUUCUCCACACUCUUCCCCUCCCGCUUUAUGCCCCUCCGCUGCAGGGCAGUGGUAGCACCAACUAAACCUCAUUGUGCUGGCGUGUUGUGCACACAUCGGGAGAUCUCAUAGUUAGACCCAGGUUUUGACUUGAAGGAAAUGUGUCACUUUUUAAAGCUUUGGUGGCUGUUCCCAACCUUCACUUGCAAGGUGUAAAACAUAAAGGGAUCAUCUUCAUUACACCAUCUUGUUGAAGCAAUAAACAUCUGCUGAGGCCGAUUUAAAACAGAAGACAAGCUAACACGCUGUAAUCUCUGAGGUCAGUUUAUUUGGGUUAUUCUCUUAAUCCGAACUAAUUAUGAGCUAAAACAAUAAACUUGAAGGUGUAAAGGAGAGUCUUUUCUUCUCUGCCAAUGAAUGCCUCAGAGAAAUGUGCAAGACAGAUGUGGUCGUGCCAAGAUUUGCAGUCCAUCUUCUCAGAGCUCUCCAAAUUCUGCUUGUGAGCCCAGCGGAGCUCAGACGGGCCUGCCCUGGACUGUAGCUGUGUGAGAUUUUCGUUUUGGGAUAAUACUGUUAAUAAUUUCCUGAGAAAGCACAUUUCUAUUUAUGCCCUUUGGGCAGAAGACUGAUGUUCCAAAGAAGGAAUGAGGAAUCCCUUGUGAGCAUUGGAAAAUCCUCAAUUUAUUCUUUUUUUAAAAAAACAACUCUACUGAGUUUUAAUUAAUAUGCAAAAUAAUUCCACAUAUUUAAUGUGUACCAUUUGAUGAAUUUGGACAUAUGCGAACACUCAUGAUACCAGCACCACAGUCAAGUGUUGCAGAACGGAGUUUGACCUUGCUAAACAGCUGCUCUCUUUGUCCCCAAUGCCAUCAAUGACAAAGAAGCCUGGACACAGGCAUCUGCUGAGAACCUCCAAAUCAGAGUGACCUUCCCAGGACCAUGAGUCUGCAAGGGCGACCUUUCUAAGAAGUGUCACCUCCUGAACCUGAACCACCCUGUGUUACUUCCUGAAAGAGACCCGGCAUUUAUGGGGUAACCAUCCUUCUCUGAUUCCAAACUGCUUCUAGAGCAACUGUGUCCCAGCAUGUCAUAUGAAGGAGGUAUGCAUGGACACCAAAGAUCCCAGAGAGAAGCUGACAGAAACAGCCUGACCUCCAAUGUAUCAGUAAGGUCAACUGCUUGAUCUCUGAUCCUAAGAUUAUUACAGGGAAAUGUUUGAUGAUGAAAAGAAAGUCAUCAAAUUCCUGGGUGUUGUCCUAUGUGUUAAUCAUUGUAGGUCAUCAGAGGAUACACUGGUGGAAAGGCUUCGGUACCUUCAAUGAGGCGGUUAUAGUUACGUGAUUCAGCACACAAGCUCUGGCACCUGCCUGACUGCAUUCAAAUCCUGGCUCCACCAGCGAUCAACUUGUGACUUAGGGCAAUUCUAUGCCUACGUGUCCUCUUCUACAAAAUGGGCACUAAUGGUUACUUACCCCAAAGGGUGGCUGUGAGAAUCACGUGAGUUAAGUGCCUAGAAUAGUACAUGGGGCAUGUAGCUGAGUUUUGUAUGCGUAUUAUGUAAUUUUAAAAAAAAUCUGUAAUGAUGUCCCCAUUUAUAAGAGUCCAGAAGAGCCGUAUUAGGACAUUCUGUCUUGAGCUGACUGCUACUGCAGGUCCAAGAAAAAAAUUGUGACAUUUGACUAUUGCAAGACUUCUCUUAUUCUAGACUUUGGGCUAUUUAAACUGCACAAUUUACUGGCAUAAACACCUUUUUUCCUUUUACCUUUUUUGUAGAGCUCCCACUCCCUUCUAAACAGGGUUUGUGAUAGCCGACAGCAUCAAAGCACACUUGGCAAAGAUCAAUGAAUAUCAAAGCAAACGGAUGGCUAAUCAAUGACUUAGGAUCACUGCAUAGUUCUAGGUACAGACCUGACUAUGCCCCCACAAACAGUUGACUACCAGGGGAGCUCUGGGGCCCAGAUACUUGGGCAAGAAUUAGUCUCCUCAAGCUGAGGAGCAGUGGGGGCUUCUCUCUCCAAGCUGCAAGAAUUACCUCACUGCCACAUAUGACAAGUUUAUUCACAAAAUUCCUCUCCUCCAAUCCCCCUCUCCCUUCAACUGUUUUCCAAAGGCAUGUAAAGGUGGAGGGCCAGAAGCGGGUUGCAGGAAGGCCUGGACAAGGGAAAGAGGAAGGAAAGAUCAUAAGCUAACCCGUGUGUUUACUCUUGCCGUAUUUUUUUUUUCAAUGGAAGCCCUAAAAAUCUUUCUUGAAACCCAGAGGUUUUUGGCAUAAAACUUGAAAAACUCUGAUGUAAGAGGUGAAAAUGCUGUUUUUCAAUCAGGCUCAAAUUUCUGAAAUAAUGAUCUUUUUGCAUGUUUUCGGGAAGGAUGUUGGUAAUAUGGUUACAAAAUUUUUAGCAGACACAUAAAUGGCUCUUCUAUCGUCUUCAAGCUCCCUCAUGCAUUUCUACAGAUGAUUUACAGAUUUACUGGAUUCAAGCAAUCUUUAUAUCAGACACCUCAGAACGCUUUAGAUGGGGUAUGUUUGUUUUCCGGGGCUUUAUUAACAAGUUUGUAAGCUAGGCAAGGAUCACGUCUUUUAAAUCAAAUUCGAUGCAGUUCUUGGCACAGGAUUUUGCAUGCAGGUGUCCCAUAAAUAUUUACUGUUGAUUAUUUAAAAAGAAAACAAUGAAAAAAAUAGUUUGAAUUUUGUGGGGGUUUUGGGGAGAGGCAGGAGGAAGUGAGCCAAAAAACAGUAAUCCUUAUAAAUUAAUCACCAUUUUCCAUGACUUAAAAAAACAUAAGCAUCAAAACCCAAACACCGAUACUGUGUCUAAAGGUAUGUCAAAAAGGGAUUAAAAUGAAAAAAGAACAGAAUCAAAAAUAUUGUAAAAAUAAUUAGGCUAAUUCUCUAAACACAUGCAACACAUUCUGAGGAGGAGAGAGGAGAAAGCAUGCUUUCUUUAUGUCCCCUUUCCAGUUCUCCUUGUUUGUGAAAGCCUGUAGUCAUCUAAAAAGUGCUUUGCUUAAGCCCGCUGGUGGUAACUUUGUACAGGUGUGCAUUAUGGAAGGUACAGGCUAAGUUCCCUUGGCCAGGAAACCCCAAAAUAAGGUGACUUCAAGAAGGAGAAGUCUAUUUGUCUCUCAUAAGAGUCCAGAGCUGAAUAGCCCAGGUCCAAGGGACCAGUGAAUACAACCUCCAGUCAAAUCUAGCCUGCUGUCUGUUUCGUUUCUGAGGUAAGAACAGUUUGUACAUAUUCAAAUGGCUGAAAAAAAGUCAGAGGAAGCAUAUUGUGUGGCACACGAAAAUUACAUAAAAUUCAGUCUUCAAUGUCCAUUAAAUAGUUGUAUUGAAACACAGCAACACUCAUUUAUUGACUCAUUCAUAGUCAAGCAUUAUCUAUGGCUGCUUUCACACUGCAAUGGCAGAGUCAAAUGGAGACUUUAUGACCCAUAAAACCUAAAACAUUUACUGUCCAGCCCUUUCCAGAAAGAGUUAGCUGAGCCCAGGCCCAGAAGCUCUCGCCCAUGUGGUCCAUUUGAGGCCCCAUGUUCCUUUCAUCUUGUGGCUCUGCUGUUCUUUGUGUUGUUAUCUGAUCAAUAGAUGUGGGUCACUGCCACAUCCGUGUUGCAGUCCUUGGUAACAGGGAAGAGUUAAAGAGGAGGACAGCAAUUUCUUUUUAAGCAGGUUAAGCAAAAGUUGAACACAUCAUUUUUGCUCACAUGCAUUCCCUUGAUGAACUUAUUCAAAUAUCCUACACAGAGGUGAAAACAGGAUAAAAAUGAAAGCAGGGAGGAUGGAUGGGGUGGGGGGUCAGCCAAAAGCUUGAUACAGCAUGCAAUACCUACAGUAAUUAAAUCCAAAAUUCUAUUGAGUACCUGAAGUCCAUUAGGUUCCAAACAUCAAGUCAUACUAGCUUGUGAUCAAAAGUCUUCACUAUAAUUUAAAUGGCCAUGUUUUGAUGUGCAAACAAAUUGAUUUUCAAGAUAGAAUAGUCUCCUGGGAGAAAUUAUUGUAUUUCAAUGCACAUUUGGAGGACAAAAUGUUCUCCAGAUUCCCCUCAGGAUCCCAGUACAUAGUAUAUUUUCACGUGUGUAAUGGAGUAGAGACUCCAUGAUUAUUGGUGGCUACUAGAGAUAUUUUGGAAUCAAGCAAAAAGAUGAGGUACUAGUGCUCCAAGUUUACUUCAGGUCCUGUCUCAAGCUCUGUGAAGCAGAAAAAAAACAUUAACCCACCUGGAUCUCAGCUCUUCUGACUGUUUAUUAUUUGUAGUUCUGUACUUUUACGUAGCUAAUGUUUUGAGGAAAUGGUGACAACAAAAUAUUUGCAUUUUUGUCCAGAGUGAAUUUGACUAGUAUGCAAUCAGAUUGAAGGUUCUCAUCUUGACUGGUUGCUUUGUGAAAAAAAAAGUGAUUCACUCUCCAUAAAGAAUUGAGCAAGGAAAAAAGAUGCAUUUUACUUUUUCAAAUCAUGGAUGGCAGGGACUCAUCCCUUUUACAAAUAACUUUAUAUUGCUCGUGGUUAGUUACCAACUGGUUAUGUGAUGCGUUUUCAAAGCUCUGUGCAGCUGUACUCCACUCUGGAGAAUAUGGCUGCCUGAAACUGCUCUCCUGCUUCGAGCAGGACGGCGACAAAAUAAACGGCAACUUCGCCCUAGAACAGUAUUGAAUUAGCCUUCUAAAUUAGAACCAUAACCAGGCCAUGCAUAUUACUAUUUCGAUACUUGACAUGCUCUGAAAUUAGAAACAGAAUAAUAUUGGAAGUCUUUGGAACGCAAGAUGGUUUUAAAAUUUUGAAGAUUAAAUUUAUUACAGUCUAUUGGGUGUUUUGCAACAUCUCUUAAAGCCUUCUUAGACCAACCUACACGUGGAAAGGAAUUUGCCAUGUACACCGGAAAAGUAAUUUCAAAUCCAUGGGGGAAAACUCUUUAUUAGACACCAUAGUAAUAACUGGCUAUUCAAUUGAAGAGGGGAAAAAAAAAAACAAAUUAGAUUUCUACCUCACAACAUAUACAGAUUAAUUCCAAGAGGAUUAAAGAGCCAAGUGAAAACAAUUUUUUAAAAGCAUUAGAAGAAAAUACAAAAAAAAAAAAAAAGCCUUUGUAAGG